rnacentral:rRNA from 1 species
UACGGAGGGUGCAAGCGUUAUCCGGAUUCACUGGGUUUAAAGGGUGCGUAGGUGGGCAGGUAAGUCAGUGGUGAAAUCUCCGGGCUUAACCCGGAAACUGCCGUUGAUACUAUUUGUCUUGAAUAUUGUGGAGGUAAGCGGAAUAUGUCAUGUAGCGGUGAAAUGCUUAGAUAUGACAUAGAACACCAAUUGCGAAGGCAGCUUACUACACAACGAUUGACGCUGAGGCACGAAAGCGUGGGGAUCAGACAGG